rnacentral:tRNA from 1 species
GGAGCAUAGCUUUAGUGGAAGAGCUGUCGGCUGUUAACCGAAGGGUCGCAGGUUCGAAUCCAGCUGUUCCCG